AUGGACCAGGAGAGCAGCAUGGGCGCCGGGCACCUGCAGGAGGAGGAGGCGCCGGCGGCCAUGGCGAAGUCGACGAAGAGGAGGGGCAAGCAGCAGAGGAGGGAGGGGGGAGGGGCGAGGAAGAGGAGGCAGCAGCAGGAGCAGCAGGAGUACCGGCUGGUGAGCUACGAGGAGCUGCCGGAGUACAUGAAGGAGAACGAGUUCAUCCUCAACCACUACCGCUCCGAGUGGCCGCUGCUGCACGCCUUCCUCAGCGUCUUCUCCUGGCACAACGAGACCAUCAACAUCUGGACGCACCUCCUGGGCUUCUUCUUGUUCUUGGGCCUCACCCUCUGGCACCUCGCCCAGUACUUCCCCCAGGUCGCCCACCUCAUCGGCCACCUCUCCUGGCCCAUCUCCAAGGUUGCAGAGAACGUCUCCAGCAACAUAGGCGAUGUCCUCUCCGGCGCGGCGUCGUUCAUGCAGGCGAGCCCGGGGCUGGCGAUGGCGGCGGCAGCGGGGGCGGGGCCGACGACGCGGUGGCCCUUCUUCGUGUUCCUGGCGGGGGCCAUGUUCUGCCUGAUGAGCAGCUGCGCGUGCCACCUGCUGUCCUGCCACUCGCACCGCCUCAACCUCUUCCUCAUCCGCCUCGACUACACCGGCAUCGCCGUCAUGAUCGUCGUCUCCUUCUUCCCGCCCAUCUACUACAUCUUCCAGUGCGAGCCGCGCUGGCAGCUCGCCUACCUCUCCGCCAUCUCGCUCGCCGGCGCCGCCACCGUCUACGCGCUCAUGUCGCCCCGCCUCAGCGACGCCAAGUACCGCGCCCACCGCGCGCUGCUCUUCGUCGGGAUGGGCCUGUCGGGCGUGGUGCCGGCCGUGCACGCCGCCGCGGUGAACUGGCACGAGCCGCGCCGGAACGUCACGCUGGCGUACGAGGGCGCCAUGGCCGCCUCGUACCUCGUCGGCACCGCGUUCUACCUCACCCGCGUGCCCGAGCGGUGGAGGCCCGGGAUGUUCGACCUGUGCGGCCAGAGCCAUCAGAUAUUCCACCUGCUUGUCAUCGCCGGCGCGCUCGCGCACUACGGCGCCGCCAUCGUCUUCCUCAGGGUCCGUGACGAGAUGGGCUGCCCGGCCAACUGA
rnacentral:rRNA from 1 species